GCUUUCAUAGUGUAACGGUAGCACACUCGGCGCGUAUUCAAGAGGCCUAGGUUCGAGUCCUGGCGAGGGCA
rfam:Stegodyphus mimosarum contig19385, whole genome shotgun sequence.